ACGAACGCUGGCGGCGUGCCUAAUACAUGCAAGUCGAACGCUUCUUUUUCCACCGGAGCUUGCUCCACCGGAAAAAGAGGAGUGGCGAACGGGUGAGUAACACGUGGGUAACCUGCCCAUCAGAAGGGGAUAACACUUGGAAACAGGUGCUAAUACCGUAUAACAAUCGAAACCGCAUGGUUUUGAUUUGAAAGGCGCUUUCGGGUGUCGCUGAUGGAUGGACCCGCGGUGCAUUAGCUAGUUGGUGAGGUAACGGCUCACCAAGGCGACGAUGCAUAGCCGACCUGAGAGGGUGAUCGGCCACAUUGGGACUGAGACACGGCCCAAACUCCUACGGGAGGCAGCAGUAGGGAAUCUUCGGCAAUGGACGAAAGUCUGACCGAGCAACGCCGCGUGAGUGAAGAAGGUUUUCGGAUCGUAAAACUCUGUUGUUAGAGAAGAACAAGGAUGAGAGUAACUGUUCAUCCCUUGACGGUAUCUAACCAGAAAGCCACGGCUAACUACGUGCCAGCAGCCGCGGUAAUACGUAGGUGGCAAGCGUUGUCCGGAUUUAUUGGGCGUAAAGCGAGCGCAGGCGGUUUCUUAAGUCUGAUGUGAAAGCCCCCGGCUCAACCGGGGAGGGUCAUUGGAAACUGGGAGACUUGAGUGCAGAAGAGGAGAGUGGAAUUCCAUGUGUAGCGGUGAAAUGCGUAGAUAUAUGGAGGAACACCAGUGGCGAAGGCGGCUCUCUGGUCUGUAACUGACGCUGAGGCUCGAAAGCGUGGGGAGCAAACAGGAUUAGAUACCCUGGUAGUCCACGCCGUAAACGAUGAGUGCUAAGUGUUGGAGGGUUUCCGCCCUUCAGUGCUGCAGCUAACGCAUUAAGCACUCCGCCUGGGGAGUACGACCGCAAGGUUGAAACUCAAAGGAAUUGACGGGGGCCCGCACAAGCGGUGGAGCAUGUGGUUUAAUUCGAGGCAACGCGAAGAACCUUACCAGGUCUUGACAUCCUUUGACCACUCUAGAGAUAGAGCUUCCCCUUCGGGGGCAAAGUGACAGGUGGUGCAUGGUUGUCGUCAGCUCGUGUCGUGAGAUGUUGGGUUAAGUCCCGCAACGAGCGCAACCCUUAUUGUUAGUUGCCAUCAUUUAGUUGGGCACUCUAGCAAGACUGCCGGUGACAAACCGGAGGAAGGUGGGGAUGACGUCAAAUCAUCAUGCCCCUUAUGACCUGGGCUACACACGUGCUACAAUGGGAAGUACAACGAGUCGCAAAGUCGCGAGGCUAAGCUAAUCUCUUAAAGCUUCUCUCAGUUCGGAUUGUAGGCUGCAACUCGCCUACAUGAAGCCGGAAUCGCUAGUAAUCGCGGAUCAGCACGCCGCGGUGAAUACGUUCCCGGGCCUUGUACACACCGCCCGUCACACCAUGAGAGCCGGGGGGACCCGAAGUCGGUAGUCUAACCGCAAGGAGGACGCCGCCGAAGGUAAAACUGGUGAUUGGGGUG
rnacentral:rRNA from 1 species